AUUGAACGCUGGCGGCAUGCCUUACACAUGCAAGUCGAACGGUAACGCGGGGCAACCUGGCGACGAGUGGCGAACGGGUGAGUAAUGCAUCGGAACGUGCCCAGUAGUGGGGGAUAGCCCGGCGAAAGCCGGAUUAAUACCGCAUACGACCUAUGGGUGAAAGCGGGGGAUCGAAAGACCUCGCGCUAUUGGAGCGGCCGAUGUCAGAUUAGGUUGUUGGUGGGGUAAAAGCCGACCAAGCCUGCGAUCUGUAGCUGGUCUGAGAGGACGACCAGCCACGCUGGGACUGAGACACGGCCCAGACUCGUACGGGAGGCAGCAGUGGGGAAUUUUGGACAAUGGGCGCAAGCCUGAUCCAGCCAUGCCGCGUGCGGGAAGAAGGCCUUCGGGUUGUAAACCGCUUUUGGCGGGGAAGAAAUCUUCUGGGCUAAUACCUUGGGAGGAUGACGGUACCCGAAGAAUAAGCACCGGCUAACUACGUGCCAGCAGCCGCCGUAA
rnacentral:rRNA from 1 species